rnacentral:lncRNA from 1 species
GGGCCAUCUUAUAAAGGCAGGGUACAGAGGGUGUGGGGGUGCAAGGGGGAAAAGAGGAUGAACAGUAGAUGGCAUAAAUGGCGCUCGAUCGACGAUCCACCCAUCGGCAGGCAGCUAGCGAGCGGGUGGCAGUCGCCCGUCACUUAACUCAUCCUCCUGCUGCUGCUACAUGGAGUAUCAUCAUGCUCAUGCACUGCAAUGCGAU